CUGGAAGUGAGGCUAAGGCAAUUGUUACACACUUUCUUGUAGCCAUACCAAGUCAUACUGGCAAUGGCACUUUGAUAGACUGAACAUGGUCAGCUGACACGUUCAGCUAAUCAUAGAUGCCUAUUGCUGCACAGGUUAAUGCUUCCUCAUUAAACAAGCCAGCACAGAGAGAUGGUUACCUGGGGACUCUUGUUUAGCAUUAAAACAUCAAAAAACGGUUAAUGCUGAAUGGAAGGACGAUGUCAAGGGACUCUAGACGCUAUAACCAGUUCAAUUAGAUGAAGCAGUUUUAGUGCAUACAAUGUCUCAAUCUCACAUUCUUUCUCCCAGAUGUUGAUAGCUUACAAUUCCUUAAUUCUUUGAAUGCAAUAAACAGCCAGAGAAUCAUGGCAAUGGCAGUUCAACAACAUCUCGGGGGAGAGGCAGAGUUUGAGAUGCCUGCUUUAAGGACUAAAAUACAAAGCCGUUACUAUGGCUUUUCCUGAUGUAGUAGUCUGGGGCAGUGCCUAAAUGC